rnacentral:lncRNA from 1 species
GAAUCUCCGACUUGCCAUGGUCGUCUUUGUCUGCCGAAGAAGCCUGGGAAGUUUAUAAACAGAUAAAGACGCAACAUGAAAGACUUGUAAGUUAAGUCUCAUCUUUCUCUGUGAAAAGACAGACUGAGGGAAAAUUUAGGAAACAAAGUAUUUCCUCUGAACAGUCAUUGAUUCUUCAAGACUACCCUUCUGUGUAUGGAACUCAGUUUAAAAGAAUUUGAAACCUAAUUUAUAUACAAUCUAUACCUAAAUAUGGGAGAAGCUAUAUAAGAACCAUUAAGAAUAUAAAGAGAAUGUUACAUUUUAUCCCUUUUUGUAAUCAUCUCAUCUCAGGGUAAUCAAUGUGAGAAAAGUCUUCCAUCAUAAAUUUAACUUCAUUAGAUACCUGAGAAUUAAUAUUGAAAAUACACCAUAUGAAUUUAGUGAAUGUGGGAAAGCUUUCAUCCUUAUUACAUCUUAUUUGAUACUAGGGAAAUCUCCUGAUUAAAUUCACAUGCAUGAUAGGCAUGUUGGAAAGUCUUCAGCAUGAAUCAGAUCUCCUUCAGCAUGAUCAAAUUCAUACUGGAGAGAAACCUUAUGAAUGUAAUGAAUGUAGAAAAACUUUUAGCCUGAAGCAAAACCUUGUAGAGCAUAAGAAAAUGCAUACUGGAGAGAAAUCUCAUGAAUGCACUGAAUGUGGUAAAGUGUGCUCUCGAGUCUCAUCUCUUACUCUACACCUUAGAAGUCACACAGGAAAGAAGGCAUAUAAAUGUAAUAAAUGUGGAAAAGCCUUCAGCCAGAAGGAAAACUUCCUUUCUCAUCAGAAACAUCACACUGGAGAGAAACCUUAUGAAUGUGAAAAAGUUUCUAUUCAGAUGCCAACCAUC